UACGUAGGUGGCAAGCGUUAUCCGGAUUUAUUGGGCGUAAAGGGAACGCAGGCGGUCUUUUAAGUCUGAUGUGAAAGCCUUCGGCUUAACCGGAGUAGUGCAUUGGAAACUGGGAGACUUGAGUGCAGAAGAGGAGAGUGGAACUCCAUGUGUAGCGGUGAAAUGCGUAGAUAUAUGAAGAACACCAGUGGCGAAAGCGGCUCUCUGGUCUGUAACUGACGCUGAGGUUCGAAAGCGUGGGUAGCAAACAGG
rnacentral:rRNA from 1 species